AGGGGAUCGCAAGACCUUGCGCUCAUGGAGCGGCCGAUAUCGGAUUAGCUUGUUGGUGAGGUAAAAGCUCACCAAGGCGACGAUCCGUAGCUGGUCUGAGAGGACGACCAGCCACACUGGGACUGAGACACGGCCCAGACUCCUACGGGAGGCAGCAGUGGGGAAUUUUGGACAAUGGGGGCAACCCUGAUCCAGCCAUGCCGCGUGUGUGAAGAAGGCCUUCGGGUUGUAAAGCACUUUUGUCCGGAACGAAACGGUUGAGGCGAAUAACUUCAGCUAAUGACGGUACCGGAAGAAUAAGCACCGGCUAACUACGUGCCAGCAGCCGCGGUAAUACGUAGGGUGCAAGCGUUAAUCGGAAUUACUGGGCGUAAAGCGUGCGCAGGCGGUUUUGCAAGUCAGAUGUGAAAUCCCCGGGCUCAACCUGGGAACUGCGUUUGAAACUACA
rnacentral:rRNA from 1 species